UACGUAGGGCGCAAGCGUUGUCCGGAAUUAUUGGGCGUAAAGAGCUCGUAGGCGGUCUGUCGCGUCGGCUGUGAAAACCCGAGGCUCAACCUCGGACUUGCAGUGGGUACGGGCAGACUAGAGUGUGGUAGGGGAGACUGGAAUUCCUGGUGUAGCGGUGGAAUGCGCAGAUAUCAGGAGGAACACCGAUGGCGAAGGCAGGUCUCUGGGCCAUUACUGACACUGGAGAAGCG
rnacentral:rRNA from 1 species